GACGAACGCUGGCGGCGUGCUUAUCACAUGCAAGUCGAACGAUGAACCCGGAGCUUGCUCCGGCGGAUUAGUGGCGAACGGGUGAGUAACACGUGAGUAACCUGCCCUUGACUCUGGGAUAACUGCUAGAAAUGGUAGCUAAUACCGGAUACGACCCUCGGUGGCAUCACCAGGGGGUGGAAAGAAUUUCGGUCAAGGAUGGACUCGCGGCCUAUCAGCUAGUUGGUGAGGUAACGGCUCACCAAGGCGACGACGGGUAGCCGGCCUGAGAGGGUGACCGGCAACACUGGGACUGAGACACGGCCCAGACUCCUACGGGAGGCAGCAGUGGGGAAUAUUGCACAAUGGGCGCAAGCCUGAUGCAGCAACGCCGCGUGAGGGAUGACGGCCUUCGGGUUGUAAACCUCUUUUAGUAGGGAAGAAGCGAAAGUGACGGUACCUGCAGAAAAAGCACCGGCUAACUACGUGCCAGCAGCCGCGGUAA
rnacentral:rRNA from 1 species